GUCCUAACCUACCGCUACUAGGACUACUAUGUCCGUUACAUUGACUUUGGACCAGCUCACUGCAAAAAGUCUUGCAUGUUCGAGUUCUUUCAUUUUGGUUGAAAUCAUUCAUCUUCCUCGGAGUGUUCUUCUUUUUCUUGAACUUAAUUUUGAGUGAGUAGGUGCAAGAUAUACUGGGAAUUUUUUUGCAUAUUCACUAGAUCACCAGCUAUUGCCAGGGAUUUCAUUUUCUCUCAAAUUCAACAGAUCACUUGUUGCCAUAGCGUUCAUUCUCUCCAAAGUACCAUGAGGAACAUCUCCUCCAGCAGCAGCACUAGUUGCUUCGAUGUUGCUCGUAAUCAUCUGGACUACUUAGACUCUAGGUACAAAGGUCUGUUCAAAUCUCAUAUCUGGGAGCUGAACAUGGGGAUAAGUCUAUUGGAAACCUUUGAUCUGUAUAUUAGAAAUUUUAGGAGGAAGAGAAGCAAAGAGUGUAUGUGUUUGGAAUAUGAUAAGGAGGACAGGGGUGAUGCUGAGUCUGACAGUUCGGUAGACGUAGAUCGCCUGAUGACUUCAAAUGCCAGCUCGACAGAUUCGAGGGCAAUAUUCGGUUGAUUUUUGAUUCAGAUAUCAAGGAAUUAAACAUCGUUAGUUUAUUGCAUUACUACUUGCUGGGAGAUUCACAACUGGUUAUGGAUAUCAUCGAUUCCAUUUUAGAGAAUCUGAGGCGUCUUUGCACCAGAAAUUACAGGGAUGAUGCAGCUCUGCAAAGUGUAAUGGGAACCCUUCAAGAGAAGCUAAUGUUCUUGAAGAGUUUCAUUUGCUUUGCAACACUACAAGGUGUUAAGGGUCAGCAAUUAGUAGAUCUGUUAGUUCACAUUGAAGUUGUGGCCAUUAAUGCUGCAAGCCUGAUCUCUACAUCUUGGUUUCAGAGAAAUGAUGAACGGGUGUGCAAUGAGAUGGAAUCUGAAAUUUCUCAACUGAUACAAAAGAAGAUUGAUCCCGUUGAUCUCCAAGUCCGAGAAACUUAUAUCCACGUCUUGACAGCUUCCAAGUUGUCACCAUCAUCACACACUUUAGCCCUGGAGAAGAAUAAGCACCUAGUGGCCGAAUUUAUUGAUCAUCUUUUACAUAUUAUUAUGGAGCUAACAGAAUCUUACACCAGUUUCUUGCUUCCGGUGAAGGAUCAAUUACUAAAACUCUAUGAGGGAGCAAGAUUCCUGAGUGUCCUUCUCAGCCAGCAGCACGAGAAGUUCGAUGAGCUAAAUGAUGAAAUGAAGGAUCUUAUUGGAUUUGUGGUCUGUGAUGCUGGAAUUGUGAUUUUCUCCCUUUAUAAGAGUGAAAUGACAGAAAGCUUGCCCAAGGAAAUAGAUCUUGUGGCUUCUCAUUCGCUCGAACUGCUCAAGCUCAUUAUUCCAGAAAUUGAACAGAUUUGUCCACUACAACCACCAUCAUCAUCAAUUAGUUUCCCUAGGACUAAUGAGCUGGGCUCUAUUGAUUUUCUUUUAGAAACUCUCAAGGAACUGGAAAAUUCUACAGCUAAUUCAAUUGCUUUCCCAAAUAAUCAAAUCCACACAGUUCGUGAAGAUCUUGAUUUCUUAAGACCUUUCCUAGGCAAGAUUGCAGAGCAGUGAAAGCGGAAUGAAAAACUCCAAGCUCUGUGGAGUCGUAUUAUUGAGCUGGCAUACAGGGCAGAGAUAAUCAUUGACUCUACACUACCUGGUGGAAAACAUCAACAUUGUUUGGAUGUUAUUGCUGGAGAUGUCAAGCUUAUGAAGAUUGAGGCCAAAAAGAUUUAUGAUAGCAUACGAUUUGACUAUGAAACCCAGAGUAUUGUUAAGACUACCAUUCCCAUGCCAUCACAAGUUACUGCUCCAAUAUCUAAUGAAGCUGUGGUGGGUCUCAAUGACGAGGGGGAAAUUAUAAUUGAUGGACUUGUAAGGGGACCAAGCCGGUUGGAUAUUGUUGCCAUUGUGGGUAUGCCUGGUCUUGGUAAGACAACAUUAGCCAAUAAAGUUUAUGGUGAUCCUUUGGUAAAGUCCCACUUUCACAUUCGUUCUUGGUGUUGUUUUUCUCGAGCAUAUACCAAGCAUAGUUUGUUAGUUCAAAUGUUGUGUAAUAUUGAUCAUGGGAACUCAGCUGGAUAUAUUCGGAAAGAUGAAGAUUAUAUGGCUGACAGGCUACGCAAAUUGUUGAAGGGAAAUAGGUAUCUCAUAGUUUUGGAUGAUGUUUGGGACAUUCUGGGGUGGGAUUUAUUGAAACUCUCACUGCCAGAUGAUUGCAAUGGAAGCAGGAUUCUCUUAACCAGCAGAUUUCAGGAAUUGCCAUUGCAAAUUAAACUUGAUAGCGAGCCUCACCAUCUUCGCCCGCUUACAGAUAAUGAGAGCUGCGAAUUGCUGCAGAAAAAGCUAUUUUCCAAAGAAGAUUGUCCUCCAAUAUUAAGUAAUGUUUUACUGGACGCAGCAAAAUACUGUAAAGGCCUGCCUCUCACAGUUGUCCUUGUUGCCGGAAUUCUUGCUACUACCGAGCAAGAUUGCUGGGAAGAAGUUGUAAUACAUUUAACUUCUAGCAUUUUUGUUGACAAUGAAUAUUGCAUGAAGACUAUUGAGCUAAGUUUCAAUAAUUUACCGGAUUAUUUGAAGCCAUGCCUUCUUUACUUCGGUGCAUUUCAAGAAGACCAAGAAAUUCCUAUCCGAAGGUUGUUAUGGAUUUGGAUCUCGGAAGGAUUCGUGCAAAAGACUGAAGGAAAGAGUUUAGAGGAUGUGGCAGAUGAAUAUUUGAUGGAUCUGAUUGGGAGAAGUUUAGUUAUGGCUGCCCAACAAAGAUCUUUAGGUGGGAUCAAAGCUUGCCGAAUCCAUGAUUUGGUACAUGAGUUUUGCGUGGCGAAAGCUGAAGAAGAAAGUUUUCUACAGAUUUUACAUGUGGAUAACCUUUUAACUUUUACCGGACCAUGCAAGCCCCAUCGAUUGUCUAUUCACCCUACCAUGACUAUGGGGCUUACAAAAUCAAGGCUGUUUUUUCCCAAUUUGCGUUCUUUGCUCUUCUGUGGUGAUAGUUAUACACAGCUGGAUAAGAAUUCAUCCAAAUUUCUGCUGUCUAAACUUCUUAGAGUGCUGGAUUUCUGGAACACUCCUUAUUGGAUUUCAUCUUUUCCAAGGGAAGUAGUAUUCCUUAUUCACUUGAGGUACUUGAGAAUUGGACGUUUUGUUGGGGAUAUCCCAUCUGCAAUAGCCAACCUCUCAAGGUUAGAAACUUUUGUAGUAGAAGCACGCCGUGGAAAUUAUCUGUUGCCAAACACUAUCUGGAGCAUUGAAACAUUGAGGUAUCUUGUCACAUCAUUGUCCGACUGUGGUUUCAUAUUUCCCAUGGACAAUCUUGAAGGCUCCCCUGAUUUAAAACAUUUAGACACUUUAAGCCUUGCAAUCCAUCGCUCUUCUCAAAAUGCACAAAAGAUACUAUCAAAGUUACAGAGCACCCGCAGGCUAACAAUAACAUAUGGAAUCCAAAGGAUGACAUACGAAAGUUACCAAGCACUCAGAUCUGGUGGAAAUCGCAAGGAGAUUCUCGUGCUGAACUACAUGAGUCGACUAGAAUCACUUAAGAUAAGCAGGAUUAGCGGAGAUGAGUUUGAAUUCUCAUUGAAUUUGAAUUUGAAAAAGUUGACUCUCUCGUAUAAUUAUUGGCCGUGGGGAAAAAUUUCAGCAAUUGGAAAAAAUCUGCCCAACCUUGUAGUGCUCAAAUUAUGCCAUCGUUCCGUUCGGGAGGAAGAAUGGGAGAUGGAAGAAGGGGAAUUCUGUAACCUCCGAUUUUUGAAACUGUCAGGGUUGUACAUUCGUAGGUGGACUGCCUCUUCUGAUAAUUUUUCCUGUCUUGAGAAAUUGGUUUUGGAGUUUUGUGAGGAGCUGGAAGAGGUCCCUCCUUGUUUAGGGGAAAGCCUCACUCUUAAAACGAUUGAGGUGAAAUGGUGUAGUGAGUCUGCUGUAAAUUCUGUGGAGCGAAUUCUGGAAGAACAGAGAGAAUGGGGAAACAAGGACUUAAAGAGCGUUAUUAUUAGAUCUACUCAGAAAAGGAGUCAAAGAAGAGAAGAAUUCCACUCAUGAGGUGGCUCAAAUCUAUCAAUAUGAUUCUAAUUUAGAAUCAGUUUCUUUGGCUUGGGCACAUCUGUUGAAAUCAUGUCCAAUAUUUGUUGGUUGCUGAUCAAAGUGGGAAGAGAAGAUCUUUCAAGAAGGGAAAAAAAUACAAUGAAAUAGAUGGACGAGAAAAAUAUCCCAACUUCUGGCUCGUAGAUCAACUGGCAGCUAGAGCAAAAUGGAAAUGAGCAAAAAGCAGGAAUACUACCAACUGGAUGAAUAUCUUGAUGAAGUAUCCAUUAAUAUAUACUUGUUGGAAUGGGACGGGUGAGCUCAGGAAAGUGGUCUCUACCUCUCAGCAAAUGGCUAUGACAAAUGAUGCCUGAAAGUGAAACUAACGUUUAAUGAUGCCAUGAUGCCUCUACCAUGAUUCUGCUUUGGUGCGUUGAUAAGUUUGUUGUACAAGUCGUUUUCUAACACUUCAGAAGGCGAACUACAUCAUUGAUUAUAAGUUGCCGGUACUAGUUGUGCAUUAUCCACGUAACUUCUGCUCUUCUAGGACUGGCUAUGAAAGAUGUUUGUGCAGCAUCUACUUGUUCACUCUCUCUCAUCUUUUGCCGGUUUUUUUUGUUUGUUUGUGGGGGGGUGGGUCGGUAAUGGGCAGUGGAAAGGAAAGUUAUCUGGAAGAUAGCCUGAUAGUCAUUGUCUAUAUAAGAAGUUGAUGCUCAAUGCUGUCAAAAUUUCUGUCUUGUGCCAUUUGAUAUAGAUCUGAAAUGGUCAAGGGCUGUAAAUAUAGUUUGAUGCUAAACUGGCACAGCCAAGGUGGUUUGUUCGUGUCUAAUUCUUAUGCUUUGUUGCGAAAAUUGUAAUGAAAGCCAUCUGAAAAUUGUACGAAUCA